GAUUAUAAAAGUUGUGUUCUCAUAUCAUAUUAAUAAAGGUUCAUAAGUGUUAGAAAACACUCUAAAAAUCAUUAAAAGUGACUUUUUUAUAAUUAUAAUUAUAAUUACUAUGUUUUACAAUAAGUUGUGUGAAUUUUAAAAAACUUCAUGACCGCGAUACCCGCAGUGACCGCAAUAGUGUCCGUUAUGUCCGCGACCGCGAUAAACGCAACGCGACCGAAAACGCGACCGCUACCGCAAUUUAAAUCCCUGCUUCUGAUCUCAAGGUCAAGAGAGAGACUGGUGUUUUUCUCAUACUUGAGAAAAUCAAACUGUAUUAUAAUUUCAUACUUGAUUUCAAUACAAGAAAUUAUACAUGUACAUAUAUACAUAUUCGAAACUAACAUAUACAUAUAUCAAUUCAGACUGGAGCAUGGGGUGUUGGCAAUUGAAAACAAUGGAGCAUCUUAUAUUAAUGUGAAGAGAUGAAUUGAAGACCCUCAAGAAUAAAAUUUUAAGCAAAGUCAGAAUAAUUUUUUAUUAAUAAAUAAUUUUAAGCAAAUUGCAGAGCUCAAGAACCAAAACAUAAAACAUAUGUCAAACCAAAACAGAUCACUAAGAAGACCCUCAAUUUCUUAGACAUGGUCAAAUUAAUACAACUAUUAUAUAAUAUUGUUAUACUUCUUUACAAGAUACCUCUUGCCUGUCUAAUUACAUAAUACAUAUGGAUGUUGUCAUAACAUCCAGCAGUGUUAAAUCAAACAGAAAUUGAAUUUUAAGCACUUCUCUCUCUGUCCUUCAAAGGUACCAACCAAAACCAAAAUUGACCAAGAUGACAUGAGUCAUGAUUUCCAACAUCACUUCAUGUUCUACAUGCCCAUGUUUAUCCUUACAUAAUACUAGACCCACUACAGCAUGUAUAAAUAACCCACUUUAUCAAACUAAUGAAAACAACCGUAAAAGAAAGAAAAAAAAACAUUAUAUUCCAAUUCGUUUGAGAUUUUCCAUUCAUUGUUACUGGUUCGUCAUAUCUUAAACACUGACAAUUUCGAUGGCCUUAAAUUCAUUUUCUCAACCUCAUUUUGUGUUGAUACCAUUUAUGUGCCAGAGACACCUUCAAGCCAUAAAUAUGGCAACAUUAACAGAACACCAUUAACAGCAAAAAUCAAAAUCACAACCAUUAACAGCAUUAACAGCAAAAUCAAAAUCACAACCAACAUCAAAAAGAAAAAAAGGGAGAAGACAUUAAAAAAUUAGGAAACCGUUAACAGGAAAUAUGGUUAACACUUAACAGAUAACUCACCUUUGAAGACGUUGAAGGCUAGAUUCGCUGGAAGCACCGUUAGAGCGGAGGUGGAGUCGUGGAGGACCGGUCACUGGAGGUGGAAUGGUGGUCGGGCGAGGUGGGUUUCCGAUUUGGGGGAAAAAGGGGAGGGAUUGCGUUAGGGAUUUGUCUCUGAAGAUAAAAAAAGGAAGGGAAGGGUGUCCGGGAAAUGGGGAGGGGAAUUGGGAAAUGUUAAAUUAUAAUAAUAAAUUUUAAAAAUAAAAAAAAAUAUUAUUUAGAUCCGGGCCGGGCCGGGCCAGGGCCAAAAAAGUUUUACCCGGGGCCCGGCCCAUUUUUUAUUUCGGGCCUAUUUUUCCCCUCCCAAAUUUCGGGCGGGCCUUUGGGCCGAGCCGGGCUGCC
rnacentral:lncRNA from 1 species